AAAUGAAACUGGUGAUACUGGACUAGGAGAUGCAGUGGCCAAACUUAAGGUCAGGAAAAACUGAGUUCGAAUCCUGCUUUGGUCUCUUAGGAGCUGAUACUUAAAUUUUCUGAGCCUCAGAUUCCUCAUCUAUAAAAUGAGGGGGUUGGACUUAGCAGUGUCUAUCAUCCCUUCUGGCUCUAAAUCUAUGAUGCUCUAAGUGUGGCUGUUCUAGGAUUGCUGCCUUACUUCUGUAUCCUUAAUCCCAAGCAAGUUAGUUCCUUCCCACCCACUCUGUGGAAUGUUCCCUGGCUCGUCCUAGGUAAGAGAGAGUUGUACAACUAACUUGUGCAUUCAGGUGGAGCCUUCUUGCAAAUUUAAAGGAUUUAGCUCUUGUGCUAUUUUAGAAGCUGGGCUUCCCAGAGCAUGCGACAGAUUAAUAUGGAAGAUACGUGGACCCACAACAGGUAUAUAAAAUCCUAAAUACUGAAUGGAUUGGACUUAAAGUAAAGCAGGCUACCUGAAUUCCUCAUAUUUGUUUUAUAUCUUAAAUUUGGAGAUAGUGAUGAUGAUGAUGAUGAUAAUGAUGAUGAUGAUGAUGAUGAUGACAAUAAUAAUAAUAUAAUAGUUCACAGUAACACAACAUUUGGGGGUUUGUG
rnacentral:lncRNA from 1 species